UACGUAGGGUGCAAGCGUUACUCGGAAUUACUGGGCGUAAAGCGUGCGCAGGCGGUGAUGUAAGACAGAUGUGAAAUCCCCGGGCUCAACCUGGGACCUGCAUUUGUGACUGCAUUGCUAGAGUACGGUAGAGGGGGAUGGAAUUCCGCGUGUAGCAGUGAAAUGCGUAGAUAUGCGGAGGAACACCGAUGGCGAAGGCAAUCCCCUGGACCUGUACUGACGCUCAUGCACGAAAGCGUGGGGAGCAAACAGG
rnacentral:rRNA from 1 species